ACUGCGCCCAGCAUGAGGGUCGCGGCUCUGAUCAGUGGUGGGAAGGACAGCUGCUAUAAUAUGAUGCAGUGCAUUGCUGCUGGGCAUCAGAUCGUUGCUUUAGCAAAUCUAAGACCAGCUGAAAACCAAGUGGGGUCUGAUGAACUGGAUAGCUACAUGUAUCAGACAGUGGGGCACCAUGCCAUUGACUUGUAUGCAGAAGCAAUGGCUCUUCCCCUCUAUCGCCGAACCAUAAGAGGAAGGAGCUUGGAUACAAGACAAGUGUACACCAAAUGUGAAGGUGAUGAGGUUGAAGAUCUCUAUGAGCUUUUGAAACUUGUUAAGGAAGAGUAAGAAAGAGCCACAGGAAUCUCAGACUUUACUGUGUAAGUGAAGUACAAAUUAAACCAAUGAUUGAAGUGCAGUUGAAAAAGAUCUAGUGAGCCUGGAAGAGAUUUAGGCCAAGUAAGAAGAUAAUUGCUCAAAUAGUCUUGUAGCCUUGGGGUGUUUUCUUUACAUUUGGGUGCCUCUUCUACAUAAAGGGUUUUCUUCUGGGCUUAUGCAUAUUAAAUAG
rnacentral:sRNA from 1 species